rnacentral:rRNA from 1 species
GUUUGAUCCUGGCUCAGAACGAACGCUGGCGGCAGGCUUAACACAUGCAAGUCGAGCGCCCCGCAAGGGGAGCGGCAGACGGGUGAGUAACGCGUGGGAAUCUACCCUUGACUACGGAAUAACGCAGGGAAACUUGUGCUAAUACCGUAUGUGUCCUUCGGGAGAAAGAUUUAUCGGUCAAGGAUGAGCCCGCGUUGGAUUAGCUAGUUGGUGGGGUAAAGGCCUACCAAGGCGACGAUCCAUAGCUGGUCUGAGAGGAUGAUCAGCCACAUUGGGACUGAGACACGGCCCAAACUCCUACGGGAGGCAGCAGUGGGGAAUAUUGGACAAUGGGCGCAAGCCUGAUCCAGCCAUGCCGCGUGAGUGAUGAAGGCCCUAGGGUUGUAAAGCUCUUUCACCGGAGAAGAUAAUGA